UCUAAAAAGAUUAGUGUUAUCCAGACAAAAAAAAUCAGAAAUAAUGUCCUAAGAAAAAAAAGAACUGACAGAUUCUGAGAGAUCUAUCCAAAGCGGUGAAUCUGGAAAACUUAGACAAAUCAUCUUUUUUUUUCCAUUCGGAGAAAGAAAGACAAGAUUGAAUAAACCAGAAGGUGAAAUAGAACAAAAGUACAUCAAAAAGAAUCACAUGUAGUCAUAAAAAAUCCAAAGUAUCCCAUACUCGUUGAAGCAAGGUACAGAGUUUGCGAAAGUGCGCCAAAUCUUGGAGAAAAUAUAUAAGGAAAUUGAACCACUUGUGAGCCAAAAACACCACUCUGAUGUGAGUUAGUGAUAUCCUUCAGUACCCAGCCGAAUAUAGAUUUCAAAGGUAUAAACUGAUUGUUUGGUGGCAGUGUCUAAAAUAUUGAGUUAGGAGACAUAUCAUUAUCGUGUGUGUGAGGUAUCUUCCUAAGCUGGGUAAUUGAACAUGACUUAGUUUGCUUAAACGUCGUCUCACUGGUGUGAUUUUCUCUGAAAUUUUAGAGAGAAACGACAGAUGAGAAUGGAUAUAUUAAAAACAUAUACAAACAAAUAGAUUUUCGAUAUGAUUUAAAAAAACACAUGAAACUCUACCUUCAGAACCUUAUGUAUAAUUGGUUCCCGUUUGAAAAUGUGGAAUAUCAGUAAGGCCUGAACUAUUUGUUUGUGUUGUAGUCUGAUAUGCUAUUAUGAAUCUAUUCCACCUUGAAUACUGCUGAUUGUACUGUUGCUUUCCCUCUGCCGUAUUCUAUAAGAAACAGAUUGAGAAAUGUAUUGAAAUAUGUGUGUUGCUCUGAGGUCAAAAUGCUGUAUAUAUAAGAAAAGAAUAGUUUGAUGGUUUAGGGCAUUCAAAUUGUAUAUAUUUUCUUAAAAUUAGCCGUCUGUUUAGUGAAUCAUAUAUCUUGGGGAUCAAGUUUAUUCAAUUUAUGGUGAAUUAUAUUUUCAUGUUUGAAUUAUAUAGAUUUAAGUUAUUAAAUGCUGCUGUUUUUAUUUUAUGAUUGGUUGUUAAUGAUAUUUUGAAUAUAUAUGAGGAUACUUAGAUUGCUCAGUUAUUUACGAUCUACUAUAUUCGGUUUCCUUAAUUUAACAACUUACCUAGAUUUUAGUUUAUUUGAGUAGAGUUAUGGUUUUUUUUAUUUAAGUAUUUAGUUGUAUAUGGUUAUUGAUUCGAAAACGAUUUGGUAUUUAUGUUUUAGAAUAUUCGAUAUUGGUAUGCAUGGAAAUUCCGGAAAUUUAGUUGAUUAUAAUUUUUUUGUUUGCUUUUAGUUUAGUGGUUUAUAAAAAUCAAAAACUUUCACCGCCUUGCAUAUCGUAACCUGUAAAAUAUUGUAACUUGUAUAUUGGGUUUGAUAUGCAAUUGUUUGUAAAAUAAUAAAAAAAUGAUUGGAACUGAUGAAUGGUAAUGGAAACAAUUAUAGCACAUCAAUAUGUUGUUUUGAAGUGAAAGUUUGCAGAUUCUAAUGGACGAUGAAGCAGUGGUGUUCAUGGAAGAUUAUUAAGAGUACAUGAGAAUUUGUUUUUGAUACGUAUACUACAAAAAUGAAAAAUGAAAUAUAUUUGUAAAAUAAUUAUCUAUACUAUUAAAGUACAAGCACAUUUGGAUUUUUACUCUGUUCACCCCUAUUAAAGAGACUUUCUUUUGUAUUCAUUAAUGACAUUUUGGACAUUUUG